CGGCUCCCCUCCAAUAAAAACCAAUUCAAAAGAUAAUACUAAAAUUUAUACGCGUCGCUUCGACUUCGGCUCUACUCAAAAUCCAAUAAAACCCAGGUCAAAAUAAAAAGCUUCCAUCACCAUCACCGACUUUGAGAACUGAAAUUUCCCCUUCGGCUGUUUCGAUUCGUUCAAUCCCAAGGGCCAAUACCAACUUUCCUUUUCGUAUUCUCCAUAAUAUGCUUCUCCUUUUUUUCUUUAACCUUUUCAAAUUUCGCAUGCAAAAGCGGCUUAGCCAAGAAUCUCAUAAAUUUUAAUUUUUUUUCCUUUUUAUUUGAUUAUUAUGUAUAUUUUUAGAAUUUCGGUUGUUUUUAAUUUGGCGGCCAAUCAAUGGACGUUCGCGUGAAGCAGGAGAUUAUGGAAACGUUAACCGCAGAAGGACGGAAACUAAACGGUGUAGUACCGGAAAAGCCUGGUCCGGUAAUCGAGCUCAGCAGCAGUAGCAGCGACUCGGACUCGAGCGAUGACUCAGACGAUUUGGACGAGAAUGAUAAUGCUAACAGCGCCGUUGAAGGAGGGGAAGGACCUGAAGGUAGGGCUUCGAAGAAGAGGAAGGUGAAUGACGUUGGUUUUGUGCUACCGCUGGGGUUUUUGGCUCCUUUACCGCCGGAUGAUCGGGUUCCUCGUCCGUUGGCCUCUAAUAUGGCGGUUGCGGAGGUUCCUCCGACGAUGGGACCGCUGGAACAGGCGGCAAGCAGGAAUUUGAGUUCGGGUGUUCUUUGCAAGCAGUUUUGGAAGGCUGGAGAUUAUGAUGGAGCUCCAUCAAGUGAUUGGGAAUUAUCUUCAGGUGGGAUGGAUCAUGUCAGGGUUCAUCCAAAAUUUCUACAUUCCAAUGCAACGAGUCAUAAAUGGGCUCUUGGAGCUUUUGCGGAACUUCUGGACAACUCUUUGGACGAGGUCUGUAAUGGAGCUACAUAUGUUAAUAUAGACAUGCUUAAAAGUAAGGACAUUAGUAAAAUGUUACUAAUUGAAGAUAAUGGUGGGGGGAUGGAUCCUGAUAGAAUGCGUCGGUGCAUGUCCCUUGGAUAUUCUGCAAAAAGCAAAGUAGCAAACACCAUUGGACAAUAUGGCAAUGGAUUCAAGACUAGUACCAUGAGGCUUGGCGCAGAUGUUAUUGUGUUUUCUCGGUGUUGUGGAAAAGAUGGAAAGUGCCCCACACAGAGCAUUGGAUUGCUGUCGUACACGUUUUUGACAAGCACAGGAAAGGAAGACAUUGUGGUACCCAUGUUAGAUUAUGAAUGGAAACAAAAAGAAUGGAGCAAGAUGAUGCGAUCUACUGUCAGUGAUUGGGAUAGGAAUAUGGAAAUUAUGGUACAGUGGUCUCCGUUUUCUAGUGAAGCAGACCUUCUUAAUCAGUUCAAUCUGAUGAAAGAUCAUGGUACACGAAUUAUUAUAUAUAAUCUCUGGGAGGAUGACCAAGGGCUAUUGGAACUUGAUUUUCAUGCCGAUCCACAUGAUAUCCAACUCAGAGGUGUUAACCGUGAUGAGAAGAAUAUACAAAUGGCCAAAGAGUUUCCAAACUCAAGACACUUUCUGACAUAUAGACAUUCAUUGAGGAGUUAUACAUCAAUACUUUAUUUGAGACUUCCUUAUAACUUCAGAAUCAUUUUACGUGGGAAAGAUAUUGAGCACCACAACAUAGUUAAUGAUAUGAUGCUCACUGAGAUGAUAACAUAUCGACCAAAUCCCAGUGCAGAGGGGGCCCCUAAGGAUUUGAAUCUGGCUGCUUUGGUGACCAUUGGUUUUGUGAAAGAUGCCAAAUAUCACAUUGAUGUUCAGGGUUUCAAUGUUUAUCACAAAAACCGACUCAUCAAGCCUUUUUGGAGGGUUUGGAAUGCUGCUGGGAGUGAUGGUCGUGGGGUUAUAGGUGUUUUGGAGGCCAAUUUUGUUGAGCCAGCUCAUGAUAAGCAGGGUUUUGAGCGUACAACAGUUCUUGCAAGGCUUGAAGCACGACUAGUUCAAAUGCAAAAAGCUUAUUGGUCCACCAAUUGUCAUAGAAUUGGCUAUGCUCCACGGCGUAAUAUGAAAAAUAUAAAUCAGUCUUUAGGCAGAGAUACUUCUCCUGAUCAUGAUCCACAACAAUCUACUCGGUCAAAUAAGAGUAGUUCCAGCAGCAAGAGACUCUCUUCGGACUCAGACAAGUUGUAUUCACCCUCAAAUUUGAAAAAAAGAGGAAAAGAAUGUCAGGAGUUUCCGAAAGCAGUGGACGGUGAAGAAGGGAAUGGACAUGUGUUUAGCAAGGGUGUUUCUGGGAAAAAGGCACCGAUAGACAGCAGAACAAAGUUCACCACAAAAUCUGGAAAAAGAUCAAGCUCAUUUGAACCAUCAACUCAUUCUGCAGAGGAUGUCAGUGAUGAUUUGUUAGAGGUUUUGCCUAACAGACAAACUAAUGGCAGUGGUGCAAAGAGUGUUUCUUGUUCAAAGUCAAAGGAGCAUCGUCUCAAUGAUAGUGAGCCUUCCCUUUCAGAGACCAAUUUACAUAUUCUGGACCAGUUGAAGCUGGAAAAUUCUGAAUUAAAAGAAAGAUUAGAGAAAUAUGAGGGAGAGCGUCAAAGUAAAUUGCUUAAUGAUUUGCAGCAAGAAAGAAACCGGUGUACAUCAUUUGAAAUUGAGCUAACAGCGGCACAGAAAAAAAUCGAGCAAUUGAACAUUGAACAAGAAAGUCUCAUUAACAUAUUCUCCGAAGAGAGGGAAAGGAGAGACAAGGAGGAAGAGAACUUGAGAAAGAAGCUAAAGAUGGGGCAACUCAUCAAUAUUGAGAAUUGUUGGCAUUGUAGGAUGCAUCUAAUACCAUCCAAGAAUUGCUUGGCAAAGUUAAGUUGCUGGAGAAGAUGAAACCUGUCAACCUCAAGCAUGAACGUCGAUAGCGUUCAUUUUUGGUAGCGAGGCACUCUCUUUUGUGUAUGAAGGACGCAUGGUUAAAGGCGGAGGCCAACAGAGCAGCAGCAGCAGCGACAGGAUGUUCGCAUCUAGUGGCAGGCUCUCACUUUUUCUCUGUCCACUGGAUGUUUCAAUCAAUGUGUUUUUUUGGUGUCCAAGCAAGCUCCAGGACAUCACUCACCUUGACAGCCAAAUUUUGUAGACAAUUGAUAAAGACCCCAAAUCAUGGAAAAGCAUAGGAAGCCCUCUCUUUUUCUAGGGACUGCUACAAAACUCACUUUCUCCCAGCCUUUUCUUUGUCUCAACUUUCUCUUCACCUGUUCUUUCAUUCCUGGUCCCCAUAAAAUAUAAUUUUGGAAAUCCACUCAAAUCGUAUGGCCUUUCAAUCAUCUCUUACCCAAUUUGUGUUUUGAUCUCUUUCUUUCCUUUCUCGUGUAUCAUCAAACAUCAACCCUUCAUCAUUGAUUUUUGUCAACAUGUUUGUGUCUAAUUGGACCAUCUCCUUACCCUUUUUUGAUGAUGCCAUUUUAUUGUCUACAAAUUCAUAAUAUUUACACCAUUAUUAGAAAAAAAAAUUGUUUAUGCCUUUGCAUUAUAAUCUAUGAACAUGCAUAUUAAAAAAAAAAAUCUUCAUAUGAGAAUUUAGACUAAACCAAGAAAUUAAUAAAAACAAAAGCAUCUAGAUCAUUUAAUGGGUGAAAAUGUGCCAGCAUGGGUAUAAAAUCAACCUUAUUGGGAAGUAUGGACAAAGAAGUUGACAUUUUUGGGGAAACAUAACAUCCUUUGAUUUUUUUAUUCCUUUAAUUUCCAAUUGAUUGUUACCUUACCCUCAAUGAAAGCCAACCGUUACCAACCAAUCAGUCAAAAAUGCCAAAAAGGCAAAA